GUUGAUCCUGCCAGUAUUAUAUGCUUGUCUCAAAGAUUAAGCCAUGCAUGUCUAAGUAUAAGCAAUUUAUACAGUGAAACUGCGAAUGGCUCAUUAAAUCAGUUAUCGUUUAUUUGAUAGUACCUUACUACUUGGAUAACCGUGGUAAUUCUAGAGCUAAUACAUGCUUAAAAUCCCGACUGUUUGGAAGGGAUGUAUUUAUUAGAUAAAAAAUCAAUGUCUUCGGACUCUUUGAUGAUUCAUAAUAACUUUUCGAAUCGCAUGGCCUUGUGCUGGCGAUGGUUCAUUCAAAUUUCUGCCCUAUCAACUUUCGAUGGUAGGAUAGUGGCCUACCAUGGUUUCAACGGGUAACGGGGAAUAAGGGUUCGAUUCCGGGGAGGGAGCCUGAGAAACGGCUACCACAUCCAAGGAAGGCAGCAGGCGCGCAAAUUACCCAAUCCCGACACGGGGAGGUAGUGACAAUAAAUAACGAUACAGGGCCCUUUCGGGUCUUGUAAUUGGAAUGAGUACAAUGUAAAUACCUUAACGAGGAACAAUUGGAGGGCAAGUCUGGUGCCAGCAGCCGCGGUAAUUCCAGCUCCAA
rnacentral:rRNA from 1 species